GUGCUUUACAGAAGCAUGUUUUACUCCGGCCUCAAGAGGACGCCAUUUACUAAAACAGCAGCUAAAGAACAGCUAAAGGUGGAUUUUUAACACUCUUCCAUCAAAAGUCAACCUUGCUGUUUAACGUUUACAAGGAGGAAACGUGUGGUCGAGUUUGACAGCGUACCCUAUUGAUCAGCUCUCCCACCAUGCCCGUCCACGAGCCGUUGGGUUCGGGUGCCCCGUACAGACCAUCGUCCACCAGUUUGAUGCGGAAACCUUGGCUUGUGUCUGAAUUAACCAACCCAGGUCUGCUGAAGAUCAUCCCUGAACACACAACACAUCCAACCUUGAAGCAGAUGAGCUUCCGCAGAGGAAGAAGAGCACACUGGUGCCUCUCCUGUCAGCUGGAAACAGAAAAAUGAGACUGCAAUCGGCACAGAAACAUGUUGCCUGCUCUAAUGAGUCUCGAUGUCUGCUGCAGCAUUCAGAUGGUUGGGGUUUUGGUGUAAACAACCCAAAAGCAUAGAUCCAUCCUGCCUUUUAUCAGUGGUUCAGACUGCUGUGGUGUAAUGAUGUGCGGGAUAUUUUCUUUGCAGACGUAUGACCCCUUAUCCCUAACAAAGUGGUGUUGUUUAACUGAUACUUAUGCCCGAGUUUUGAUUAAAGCCACAAAUCUCAA
rnacentral:lncRNA from 1 species